rnacentral:lncRNA from 1 species
CCAAAAGUAUCAUUCUUUAAUAUCUCGUAUGGUAUGAGGGUGAAACAUGCCGUCUCCAUACCUCGUCUAGUAUGAGUGCCAAAAAUAUCAUCUCUCAAUAUUUCAUCCGGUAUAAGGGUGAAACGGGUCGUCUCUGUACCCCACCCGGUAUGAGCACCAAAAAAUGUCAAUUCUCGAUACCCCGUUUGAUAUGAGGCAAUGUUCAUGGUAAAGUUCUUUAUGUACCCGGUCCGUCUACCAUUUUCC